rnacentral:lncRNA from 10 species
AUCUGCCCAGUGCCUGUACUCCCAAAGUUCUUGGCAUGGUUUAGAAGGCCCUUCUGAAUCUGACUCUUGGUUAUGUUAUUGAACAGCACCUCCUUCCCUAAUUUGCCUUUGCUCAGUCACACUACAUAGUUAACUAUAAUUUGAUCACAUCAUGCUCUUUCUUGCUUUUGUGAUUUUAUUGAUGUUGCUUCUCAAUGGAAAGUUCCUCUCCUUCUCUUUAGCUGGAAAAUUCUACUUGGCCUUUAAGAGCCAAUAAUAAUUUAUCUCCUCUAUUUCCAGAGGACACAUCUGUCAAUUUUGCAUUUAUUUGUUUACAACCAAUUCUCCCAUGAAAUUAUGAACUUCCAAAGGAGUCUCAUACAUAUUUGCAUAUCUUUGUUAUUUUCACUUCUAGCAUCUAGCUAAUCAGCUGACCAUGAGAUGCAGAGAUUAUCUGGAAUUAUCCAGAUUGGUCCAUUUAAUUACAUGAGUCCUUAAAAGUGGAAAGUGGAAGAAGAGGCAGAAGAGUGUGUCAGAGAGAUGCUGUGUGAAAAGGACUCAACCUGCCACUUGAGGCUUUGAGGCUGGAGAAAGGGGCCAUGAACCAAGGAUUGUGAGCAGCCUGUAAAAUCUGGAAAAGACAAGGCAAUACCCUUUGCUGUCUCAGGGUCAAACAUGCAACUCCUGCCUGCUUGUAUGGCCAGCUGGGUUCAAGAAGGAAGGAACCUCAUUGUUGACAGUUACCAGAUGAAUGUGCCCCUUCUGUACAGCUAAGAAAUGGAAUAGACAUUGGUAACCUUCCACAGGCCCACACAUGUGUUAUCAGCCAUACCUUAGGACAGAAGGAAUGAGUUUGCAGAAAGGAUGUGGCACUUGCCAGUAAUUCACACAUGCUGAUAG